GUGCCUGUAUAUAGUGGUUUCCAGCCCGCUUGUGGUAUGGCAAUCAACGCCGGGGAAUACUGUUUUUAGUGGAUUGUGAUUCCAGUUGUCGUGGGUUCGAGUCCCAUCAGCCACCCCA
rnacentral:tRNA from 1 species